GAUAGCUCAGUUGGUGAGAGCUGGAUGCUGAUAAACGCCAAGGUUGUGGGUUCGAUUCCCCGUAAGGGACA